rnacentral:rRNA from 1 species
CUCUGUGACUCCUACGGGAGGCAGCAGUGGGGAAUAUUGCACAAUGGGCGCAAGCCUGAUGCAGCCAUGCCGCGUGUGUGAAGAAGGCCUUCGGGUUGUAAAGCACUUUCAGUUGUGAGGAAGGUGGUGUCGUUAAUAGCGGCAUCAUUUGACGUUAGCAACAGAAGAAGCACCGGCUAACUCCGUGCCAGCAGCCGCGGUAAUACGGAGGGUGCGAGCGUUAAUCGGAAUUACUGGGCGUAAAGCGCAUGCAGGUGGUUUGUUAAGUCAGAUGUGAAAGCCCCGGGGCUUAACCUCGGAAUUGCAUUUGAAACUGGCAGGCUAGAGUCUUGUAGAGGGGGUAGAAUUUCAGGUGUAGCGGUGAAAUGCGUAGAGAUCUGAAGGAAUACCAGUGGCGAAGGCGGCCCCCCUGGACAAAGACUGACGCUCAGAUGCGAAAGCGUGGGGAGCAAACAGGAUUAGAUACCCUGGUAG